rnacentral:rRNA from 1 species
CUGGAGGUAUCAGAAGUGCGAAUGCUGACAUAAGUAACGAUAAAGCGGGUGAAAAGCCCGCUCGCCGGAAGACCAAGGGUUCCUGUCCAACGUUAAUCGGGGCAGGGUGAGUCGACCCCUAAGGCGAGGCCGAAAGGCGUAGUCGAUGGGAAACGGGUUAAUAUUCCCGUACUUGGUGUUACUGCGAAGGGGGGACGGAGAAGGCUAUGUUGGCCGGGCGACGGUUGUCCCGGUUUAAGCGUGUAGGUGUGUGUUCCAGGUAAAUCCGGUUCACUUUAACACUGAGGCGUGAUGACGAGGCACUACGGUGCUGAAGCAACAAAUGCCCUGCUUCCAGGAAAAGCCUCUAAGCAUCAGGUAACAUCAAAUCGUACCCCAAACCGACACAGGUGGUCAGGUAGAGAAUACCAAGGCGCUUGAGAGAACUCGGGUGAAGGAACUAGGCAAAAUGGUGCCGUAACUUCGGGAGAAGGCACGCUGACAUGUAGGUGAAGUGAUUUACUCA